CGUGGGGCAGAGAUGAGGAGGAAAAGAAACUUCUGUUGGGCUAUUCUUUUUUUAACUCCUGUCUUACUUGUCUCCUAAUUACUGACUCCCAAGAUCCUGGGAAGAAACCAGGAAUUCUCUUUCUGUGCACAAUCAAGGAAAAUCCUUUAAGAAUGACGAGGGACCUGCCCUGUUCAAGAACCAGAAAUGCCCAUUCAUUGCAUCAGCAUUUACCUUGUAAAUAGACCAAAGCUGUGCUCCAAACCAACCCAUCACCAUCUGAAACAACACCCCAGUCCUCCCGAUAACAUCUGUUUUGCUGCUUUGGAGGACAUCUGACAGGGACCACAAGGAUUUAGUCACAGUGAAGAGCUAUGCUAAUAAUGGAGAACAAAACACUGGCAACAACAAAAGGGUGAAGUGAAAGGUGCUAAUCCCCCUACAGACAGAGGUCAUGUUAGGCAGCUCUGGCCAUCAAGCUUUUUAAACUGCUGAGGGGAAGACACUGACUGCUGCUGGUAGUGCAGACCUCAAAGUGCUUGAUAAACAAAACCUUUCCUGAUGCUUCCUGAGAUGGAUGUGGGGCAUGCGAUGGACAGCAAAUAAUUUGUUUGAAGUCAUGCACAGUCUGUCAAACACUGACUGAAUCCCUACUCCCACCUCCUGUCAGUUAUUGCUUCUCAAUCUUUCAUCUCACUACAUUGCCAAUAGAGGAAUGGCUCAUAAAACUCAGUAUGCCCUGUGGAUUACGUGUGUUUGCUACUGAAGGAAUGUCACUGGAUACUCUCAGAGGUAUGUUAAAAGGUAUCCAGAUUGUUAAAAGUGCGUUAAAAGUUCCCAGAUCCAGAGGGUUCAACAUAGGACUUAAAUAUGAGAGCAAGUGGAAGGAUAAAAUGAAGGCACCGAACAGCUCAGCACCUUCUGCCAAUAGCUGUGUCAAUUGCUACAGAAUACAUAUGAACAAGGCUAAAUUCUCUUUACUAGACAAGUGGCUGCAUAAGCACCCAGCUGGUAUCAGAGAGUAAUUCCAGGAUUUAUGGCUGACCAGACUGGAAACAGGUGUCCUACAUAGUUCCAUAAGGAAACGGAUCUCAAAGAUCAAUGUAGUAGCACAAGUGAAGACAGAGAAGGUAAAUUACAGACCUGAAGGAAGAGCUAUUUUACGUAGUGAAAAUGUUUAUAAUGCAGAUCCCAGCAAACUACGAAUGAGAAAUUCACAUAAGGAUUUAAAUGUCUUGUAUUGGAGAAGACAUUAAACACCUGACCCUUGCCUUUCUUCAUGACCUUCAAGAAGUUACAGAAGUCUGCCACAUCCUACCUCUGGCAUGACCAGAAAGGAGCCAAUGUGUACAGAAAAUCAGGGAACUAUGCUGGAAAUGUACAAUCAGGAGAACUUCAAUGUGACUACUGAGGCAUGCCAAGACAAUUUGGGUUGUUAUUUCUAGGUUACAAUAUAAGCAAAAGUUCAAUUUUUCCAUUUUGUUAAAUUAACAACACUUUUAGCUAGAGCAGAGAUGCAAUGCGAAGGCAGUGUGCAUUUCCUGCCCUAAAUGCCAGUCUGUUACCACAGAGCUCAUCCACAGACUACAGAGCCUGGGUGUCAGGUUCUCACCCCAGCUUGGUAGCUUCAUAUGCAAAACAGAAGAUGCUACAGCAGACUUAGAUGAUAGGUAAAGUCACCUUCCUGGUAAAUGAAUGUGCUCCCAGUCUGCCUGCUGUUCAUGUUACCUUGUUGCAACUUCCACAAGAAUUGUUCAUGCUCUGUGCAAGUCUUAAUUAUUUGCAUUUUAAGGCCAUCAUUGUCACGAACACUGAUGUGACUCAUAACUUUAAAAAAAAAAAAAAGCUCACAUUUGAGUUGCCAUCAAUAUAAUGGUUGAUUCUAAAACACUCCCUUCAAAAAGCUCAACUCAAUUUCCUCUUUUUCUGAACUUUUUUUUUUUUCACGUUUCUGACGUUUUGUUACUUUUAUGUGCAGAAGUAUGGUUAGCUCCACCAGCUUCUGUCCAAGAAACUGAGCAUAAAUUCACAGUGGUCAAGUCCAGUUAUUUCAGAUGACUACAGUAAUUAAAGUGUCAGCCUACUGAGACUGUGUGUGUGUGUCUGGAUGAGGGUUGAUCCGUACACAUCCAUGUGCCUCGGUCUCUCUCUGGCUCUGACCAUAUCCCUUCUCCGCUCCUUUCUCCCUUUUGCUCCAAAUCCACCUAUGUAUCUCUUAGGUACAUAAACUAGAAAAAACUUUUACUGUUCCUGCUCUCAUUCCAGGAUGAGCCUAAGGUAAUGAGGAAGUAGUUUUAAUAAGAGUAUUGCAUUACUUUUUUUUUUUCAGGUAGUUAGGUAAAUACAUAACAGUAAAACGGGUCUAGAUUUUUCUCUGCUGGAUUUCUGUUGGACUUUCAAAGCUUCUUGGAAACAAAUUUGUGAUGUGGAUCUCAUAUUUCUGCUUCUCUAUCCAUCAUUUUCUCAAAAGACCACAAUUGUUGAGCCUAAGAGAAGCCUACUGUAGUCUGAGUUACAGAUGAAGUACUGGAAAUCUUGUACAAAAAAAAAAAAAUGGGGGAUGGGGUGUGAGGGAGAGACAGAAUAUGUGGGAGCCAAAGUUAGGAUUAUGAAGUCUGCCAUAUGAAAAAGAAAAAAAUGAAAAGUGUGCCGUAACAGCUUACUAAUGAGAUUUAGAAAAACAGCCAACAGGCACCAAAACAAACAUAAAAAUAGAACAAUGCACUGCAUAGGAACAGCUAUCGUAACUCAGAUGUCUCAGAGUUCCCCCCUCUGAAAAAGGGGAAUUUUCUCUAUCAGAUGAAUAAAUGACCCAGACAUGCCCUCCGCAUCCAACAGCUUCAGCAGUGCUUUGAAAUUCUUCAGUCUUUGAUGAUGAGGCCUACAUAUUUAGAUAAAGUGUAGCAUUUCCAGAGAGGCAUGUAGGAAUUCAAAACAAAUACAGCCUUUGCAUGACUGUGCAGUUGCACAGAAUUCUUACAAGGAAGCUCUGCUUGUGAGAACCAGGGCCUUUCCAGCGCUGGGAAAACUGAGAUGUCAGUAGGGGUUGAAAGAGACGAGGCAACAUUUCUGUUGAGGGGAUUCAUAUGCACAUGAUGUAGGAGGAAGAGUCACUUAUUUAAUUGCUGACGUACACAGGUUUGUGUUUGUGGUUCAGGCACAAAAACAGGGCUACUGCUUCUAGGGGAUCUGUGACAGGAUGUGAAAACUGAGCAGUGGCAUCCGAGACAUGAUUCAUACGGCGCGCUGCGAAACUCUGCGUACUGCAGGAAUCCAAGAUGCUGAAGUGAGCUAGUCCUGGAUCUGCAAAUAAAUAAUUAUUGGGAGUGGUCCUUUCUGUUCCUUCCCAGUUCCUUUCAAAUCUUUUACCAGUGAGGACACAGAAUUACAGAACACAGCAUCAAAUCUAGUGUUAGUCCUGACUUUAUGUUCUUGUACAGCUUGCUAGCUUACAAUAUACUCGAAAAGUACUAGAUCUUAGAGACACGGAGUGAUGUAAGAUGUUCGUGUUGGGUUGCUUGUUCACUGUGCAGCCUAGCAUCUUUCAGAGAUGCCUUUCUAUUUGUACCUGAAGGUGUGAUCUUGUAUUUGUAGCUGAAUAGUGCCAUUUAGAAAGUGAACAUCAGAGCACAAACAAGAUAUGCCCAACUGACCAUGGCUCGUCCAUCAGCAAAUCAAUCAAUGCUGCUUCCAGCUCAGAGUUUUAAGGUAAAGUGUCACUGUUUUCCUUAAAAAUGCAGUGAUGAUGGGGAGGCGCUUCAUUAGCUCAUAGAUGUUUGUAAAGCUGGACAGGAGCGAGGAACGGCUGCCAGUAAUGUUCCCAGCUGUCCCAAGCUAAGCUAUUCUUCAUCAACUUCUCAACUUCUCCAUCAGAGCCUUCAGUAGAUGAACCUGUUUCUGACCACUCUCUCCUCUAUAGUAUUUACAACUCUUCCAGGCUCUGUGUCACAGUUUUUGUUCAAAGAGAUUUUACAUUGACUUUUUUUUAAUCGUUACUAUAAAUCCUAAAUAACAUCAGUUCUACUCUUGGUUUCUGCACAACCGUUUACAAUCAUCUCCACUGACGGGUAAUUCCUUUUGAGCCAUGCCUGUCACCACACACCUGACCCAUGCAGUGUGAGCUUUCUUGAUAGAAUACGGUGUCAGCUUUCCAGAAAAAUAUCUGAGAACCAUCCAAGUAUAUUAUACCUGCACCAUUACCCUCAAGAGCAACUUUGUAAUUUAACAAGAAACAAAACAAAUUUGACAAGUCCUUUUUCAAUAAAGCCACAUCAGCUGCUACUGUUAUAUUCUCAUCUCGUGAUUCCUUGUUACGUCCUGUAUCUGCAUUUAGUGUCUGAUUAGUGUCAGAUAAAUUGAUCCAUUACUCACCUGUCGGAAUUGAAUACUUACAGUCAGUUUUCAUGUCUUGCAGAAUUUCUGCACUAAUUAGAGCUUUAUUAAAAAUUAAUAUGGAUUCUUACUUCCUGAGAUCCUAUAUGCAAACUCCUUUAGGACUCUCAAAUUCAAGUUUUUUAGGACUCACAUACUUUAAAGUGUUUCUAAGAAAAGCUGUUCAGUGCCCUUCUUAAUAAUGACAAGUUAAUGACAGUGCCCUUCUUUAUAAUGAUCUUCACAUAAUAUAACAUAAAUAAUUACAUAUUUUUUCAACUAUAGAAUAAAUGUAUUACCUGUAUCUAUCUAGAUAUAUUGGCCUACAAUACUGUUAAGAUUUAGAAAACUUGAGUUGUACCCAAAACUGUCAACCACUGAUGUUCUCAUCCAUUUUUCUACACUUUAUAACUCGUAAUGAUUGUUUCCUUUUUUCUACUUGUUGUACAUCUUUAUUUCAAACUGCUGUGUUCAGUUCCCCACAAAGCUAGAAAUGCAUUUUGCUGAAUCUCCCUUCUUUCUUGAUGACAAUAUCCUGACUUAAAUGACUCAACUUCUUCUUUACUCCCCCUACUUUUAUACAGUUCUUCUAUGUAAUUUGACUUCUUGCUCAGUCGUUCAUUUUCUGCAGCUUUUUGGGGAACAAGCCACAAUGUAUGCCUUGGGAGCAAGAUGUAGUGUCUGUGUGUGUUUAUCUAAACAGUCAGGCAAGCCUAACUCUCACACUAGUAGUUAUUUUAUCUUUACCAAAAGAAAGUCUGUUGUUACUUUCUCUAAUAGGAUUUUUUUCUGGGGGGUGGUGGUGUGAGAAAAUCAUUAGCUAUGAUUUUUAGGAAGUC